UCGGGGGGACGGGGGUGGUUCGCCACUCGCGACGUCUUGAGAAGUCCAUUGAACCUUAUCAUUUAGAGGAAGGAGAAGUCGUAACAAGGUUUCCGUAGGUGAACCUGCGGAAGGAUCAUUG
rnacentral:rRNA from 16 species